UGCUGAGAAUCAGACACUCUCAGAUACAGAAAAAAUGGUAGAAAAUGUCCCCAGAGAAUUGAUCCUUGGGAUGCUGCUACUCCCAGGGUCUCCUGGCAGUGCUACUUUGUCUAACUCCCGUCUCUGCCCCUGGAUCAGGUGUGCCCUCUGUUCAAAGAGGUUCUCAGCAGCUUGGACACCACCCUGGUGGAGGCCACUGCCGACAUGACGGUCUAUGGGCUGGAUUUUGCCAUUAAGGUCUAAGCCUUCUGGGAAGGGACCGGCCUCUGCUUAGCUGAACCAUUUCCAGCUCUUCGAUCAACUCCCUGCCCAGCUUCUGAGGGCUCACAGAAGGCUGUCCCAUGUUCUGGACAAUGAAAUGGCCACUGUUUGAAGACCAGAGCAGCAUGCUCUCUGAGGAAACUGCUCCCCCUCCUUUAUCAUUAGGCAUGUGUUGUAGUCCAUGUUCUUCACCAAAUUAAAUUGC